UACGUAGGGUGCGAGCGUUGUCCGGAAUUAUUGGGCGUAAAGGGCUCGUAGGCGGUUUGUCGCGUCGGGAGUGAAAUCCACUGGCUUAACUGGUGGCUUGCUUUCGAUACGGGCAGACUAGAGUGCGGUAGGGGAGAUUGGGAAUUCCUGGUGUAGCGGUGGAAUGCGCAGAUAUCAGGAGGAACACCGAUGGCGAAGGCAGAUCUCUGGGCCGUA
rnacentral:rRNA from 1 species